rnacentral:rRNA from 1 species
UACGGAGGAUGCAAGCGUUAUCCGGAAUGAUUGGGCGUAAAGGGUCCGCAGGUGGCAGUGUAAGUCUGCUGUCAAAGAAUGAGGCUUAACCUUAUCAAGGCAGUGGAAACUACACAGCUAGAGUACGGUCGGGGUAGAAGGAAUUCCUGGUGUAGCGGUGAAAUGCGUAGAUAUCGGAAGGAACACCAGUGGCGAAAGCGGCUUCCUGGUCCAGCACCGACGUUCAGGCACGAAAGCGUGGGGAGCAAACAGG